rnacentral:rRNA from 1 species
AUUGAACGCUGGCGGCAGGCCUAACACAUGCAAGUCGAGCGGAAGAAGGGAGCUUGCUCCUGGAUUCAGCGGCGGACGGGUGAGUAAUGCCUAGGAAUCUGCCUGGUAGUGGGGGAUAACGUCCGGAAACGGGCGCUAAUACCGCAUACGUCCUGUGGGAGAAAGUGGGGGAUCUUCGGACCUCACGCUAUCAGAUGAGCCUAGGUCGGAUUAGCUAGUUGGUGGGGUAAAGGCCUACCAAGGCGACGAUCCGUAACUGGUCUGAGAGGAUGAUCAGUCACACUGGAACUGAGACACGGUCCAGACUCCUACGGGAGGCAGCAGUGGGGAAUAUUGGACAAUGGGCGAAAGCCUGAUCCAGCCAUGCCGCGUGUGUGAAGAAGGUCUUCGGAUUGUAAAGCACUUUAAGUUGGGAGGAAGGGCAGUAAGUUAAUACCUUCCUGUGUUGACGUUACCAGCAGAAUAAGCACCGGCUAACUUCGUG